AAAACUAACAGGCAAAACAAUAAUAUUUAGUCUCUACAUUACAUGUGCUUAUGUACUCCUAAAUAAUAAUUUAAAAAAAUCUGGUCACCCCUUUGCUCCCCUUGUGGGUGGGACGUGACACAGUGCUGGUAAGAAAAAUAGAAAGUCAGUGGGUACCCACAGUUCUUUAUGGCACAUCAGGAUUAUAUAAUAAGUCAUGAUGUUAAACUCUAUUGGGAAACGCCCACUGAGGCAGGGUAAAAAGCCUUGUAAAAUGCAUGUUGAAGAGAAAUAAAUGGGAAAGAAUGCUGAAGGGCUCCUGGUCUCACAGAAUACUCUUUAUGAGGCGUUUAUGAAAGCCAGGUAGUUCAUGUUUGUCCUAGUCUUUUCAUAUUCAUUAAAUAACGAUUAUAUUUUCUAUAUUUGUAUACAACAUACAAAUGAAAUAUAUACAAAUUGUUAAUGUGUCUUAGUGCCCUACGCCACUAUCACAGUCCCACAGAUCUGCUACGGAAUAGCUAUGAAAUAUUUAAGGAGUGAACUUCUUAAUAUUUCUAUAUAUAUUCUCAAUGUGUUAAUACUGAACUUAUUUCCUCAUCAGGAAAUGUAAUAAUCUGCAAUGUUCUUGAUACAGAUUAAAAUACGAAAGGCAAUUUUCUCAAUUAAAUGAAACUUUUUUGCUGUAUUUCAGAAAUCACAACUGAAGAAAGGCAAUCUUCCCUUGUAGCUUCAAGUCAAGAACAAGAUUUUCAUUGUUCUCACAUGGCAGCUCUCCAUAGCAAGGUUUUCACAAACUUUCUGGCAUUGGUAGUAAUAUACAUUCAUACUAGGCAAGGCAAAUCCUUUGAAACAGCUCCUUUCUGCAGACUCCUUUAGAGAAAAGGAAAGGAGAAACACUACGCCGUGUUCAAUUCAUCUUCCAUAUUGUUCAGGAUUGAGUAGAAAUUACUGUGGAAACUAUGCAGAAGGCACAUUUUUUGUAUAAACUUGUGUCCAGAAAGAGGUUUGCAAGUAACAAGCAUUGGAGUUCUUGUCAUCUGCGCCACGUCACAUCCCAACUAACUCGGCCCUGAUUUCAAGUUUGCUGUCAUAUUAAUUUAAUCAUCUAACUUUUGGCUGUCUUUUAUCAAUGUUCUAUUUUUCUUUUCAC
rnacentral:lncRNA from 1 species